rnacentral:rRNA from 1 species
CCUACGGGUGGCAGCAGUGAGGAAUAUUGGUCAAUGGACGAGAGUCUGAACCAGCCAAGUAGCGUGAAGGAUGACUGCCCUAUGGGUUGUAAACUUCUUUUAUAUGGGAAUAAAAUGUUCCACGUGUGGGAUUUUGUAUGUACCAUAUGAAUAAGGAUCGGCUACCUCCGUGCCAGCAGCCGCGGUAAUACGGAGGAUCCGAGCGUUAUCCGGAUUUAUUGGGUUUAAAGGGAGCGUAGGUGGAUUGUUAAGUCAGUUGUGAAAGUUUGCGGCUCAACCGUAAAAUUGCAGUUGAAACUGGCAGUCUUGAGUACAGUAGAGGUGGGCGGAAUGCGUGGUGUAGCGGUGAAAUGCUUAGAUAUCACGAAGAACUCCGAUUGCGAAGGCAGUUCACUGGACUGCAACUGACACUGAGGCUCGAAAGUGUGGGUAUCAAACAGGAUUAGAUACCCGUGUAGUC